GACGAACGCUGGCGGCGUGCUUAACACAUGCCAGUCGAACGGAAAGGCCCUGCUUUUGUGGGGUGCUCGAGUGGCGAACGGGUGAGUAACACGUGAGUAACCUGCCCUUGACUUUGGGAUAACUUCAGGAAACUGGGGCUAAUACCGGAUAGGAGCUCCUGCUGCAUGGUGGGGGUUGGAAAGUUUCGGCGGUUGGGGAUGGACUCGCGGCUUAUCAGCUUGUUGGUGGGGUAGUUGCUUACCAAGGCAUUGACGGUUAGCCGGCCUGAGAGGGUGACCGGCCACAUUGGAACUAAGAGCAGGCGCAGACUCCAACGGGAGGCAGCAGUGGGGAAUAUUGCAGCAUGGGCGGAAGCCUGAUGCAGCAACGCCGCGUGCGGGAUGACGGCCUUCGGGUUGUAAACCGCUUUCGCCGGUGACGAAGCGUGAGUGACGGUAAUGGGUAAAGAAGCACCGGCUAACUACGUG
rnacentral:rRNA from 1 species